UCUUCUCUCCAUUUUGAUCAGAAAUCCCAGAGCUUCGAUUAGAAAUCCAAAAGGUAGAAGACGAAUCUCAAACUUCACCUGGCGUCAUUGCCCAAACCCGAUCGGUCACCUACAUGCCCCGACCCAACGACGGAGCUCUGAGUGCCAAAACAUAACCCCCGGCGACGGAAUCGGACCGCUCGUAAUGAACACCGUCGAGCAGGUGAUGGAGUCUCUCAUCGCGAACGAGAGUUGCAGCACAUUUUGCGUGUUCUGAACACCAAUGUGGAUGGAAAUCAGAAGAUCAUGUUCGCUCUGACCUCCAUCAAGGGUAUCGGUCGCCGUUUAGCCAACAUCGUCUGCAAGAAGGCCGAUGUCGACAUGAACAGGAGAUACAGAUGCAGCUAGCGUGGGUUUUGUAAACCAAACCGCCCUGCGAAGUUGGAGAAAGAACCCUC